GGCUCUAUAGUUAAAUGGACAUAACGGCCCCCUCCUAAGGGGCAGUUCCAGGUUCGAUUCCUGGUGGAGCCGCCA
rnacentral:tRNA from 1 species